rnacentral:rRNA from 1 species
CGGCAACAGCUCAAAUUUGAAAUCUGGCCUCUUGGGGUCCGAGUUGUAAUUUGUAGAGGAUGUUUUGGGUACCGCCCCGGUUUAAAUUUCUUGGAACAGAAUGUCAAAGAGGGUGAGAAUCC